rnacentral:rRNA from 1 species
AUACGUAGGUGCCAAGCGUUAUCCGGAUUUACUGGGCGUAAAGGGCGUGUAGGCGGUCUUGCAAGUCAGAAGUGAAAUUCCUGAGCUCAACUCGGGCGCUGCUUCGGAAACUGCAGGACUUGAGUGCUGGAGGGGAUAGCGGAAUUCCUAGUGGAGCGGUAAAAUGCGCAGAUAUUAGGAAGAACACCGGUGGCGAAGGCGGCUAUCUGGACAGUAACUGACGCUGAGGCGCGAAAGCGUGGGGAGCAAACAGGAUUAGAUACCCUGGUAGUCCACGCUGUAAACUAUGAUAACUAUCUUUUAGCGAUACACAGUUAGAGGGUACGAGAAAUCAUUAAGUUAUCCACCUGGGGAUUACGUUCGCAAGAAUGAAACUCAAAGGAAUUGACGGGG